rnacentral:lncRNA from 13 species
AUGGGUGGGGCGUCCUCCUGGCACAGAGACCCCAGCCAGGGCCAUCAUGCGUGUACGCAGGGAGGACAGGGCUGUGCGGUCUGCAGUCUGCCUCCCAGUCGGCACUGGGGUUCACACUCAGGAGCCAAGGGGCCAGCUAGUUUGCUCCCCCAUGCGUCUCUGACCUCUGACCCCAGGGGACAGGGCCUUCCGGAACUCCAAGCCAACCAUGGUGCUCCAGCAGGGCUCCUUGGCCCUCUCCCUGUCCCUGUCACAGGCAGGGGCCCCCAGUGGGUUAGCAGUUGCUAUGGCAUCUUGUGGACCUUCCCUUCAGGCUGGGGUGGGAGGACAGAUAAGGAGCAAACACAGCUGGCCGAGGCUCCUGGCUCAGAGCAGAUGGGGGGCAGACGGUCUCUCCCCGUUGUCACCACACGGACGCCCACCAGGCUGACCUGGGACUCAGGACCCAGUGACUGGUGGCUGGUACUGCCCACAGAAUCAGACAGGAGUCUCCUUUGGCCCUGGCCCUGCCCUCAGCCGCAUUGGGCUGGGAAUCUCAGUCCCAGCCUGGCCCUGGCGGCCUCGCACUGCCCACCACGCUCUGCCGGGCACCCUGAGGUUCUUAGAAAGCGUCAGCUCCUCCCGCCCUCAGACCCAACCAACGCCCUCGGUGCGCGCAGCGCCCUGCAGCUUGAGGGCGACUCCAGCGCAACUAGGACGCGCCGCCGCUGUGCUCCCCGCGCGCGCUGGGCCCCCCACGCCUGCCCUGAAGCGGGAACGUGCGCAAGAGGCUGCGGCCCGGCAGGUCGAGGGCCGCAUCUCCUCCCCUUCCCGGCGCCCUUCAGGUGCAGAGAGUGGAGGGACCGGGACACGCACUGGGGCGGCUCGGGGCGCUCUCCCGGGCACAGGCGCGCGGAUGGCGGAAGCUCCACCCGGCACCCGGCGAGCUCCGGCCCCAGCCUGACUCUUGGUCGCCCUCGGCGCCUUAGGACGUCUCGAGCAGGGAUCCAGGCUUGGGGGACGGAGGUGGGAUCCCCGCGCGCCUCGGCCCUCUCUCUCCUCCUGCGCGGGGGUCGGGCAGAGGAAAGGGCUCCCCAGCCCCCUUCGCCCACUGUCCCUCCUUUCCCCAGGCCUGGAAGGGACCAGGACGCGGGCGACGCGGGAGCCUCCCUGGCUCCGAGCCGCUUCCUGAGAGACGGCGCCCAGAAACAAGCAGCGCCGUGGGCCCCGACUCCAGGCCUGGAGCGGCCCUGGGAGGACAGCGGCCUCCACUCACCUUCGCGGGUCCGAUCGCACCGCCACUCACCUGCUGCCGGAACUUGGGGAUCGCGCGGGGCGGGGGCGGAGCAGCUCACCUGA